rnacentral:lncRNA from 1 species
UACCAUAACUCCUUUUGUACACCUGAGACGAAGCUUAUCUACUGCCUCCGAUGAGCACCACUACAAACACUAAGCUCUUUCACCACUGGUUCCUUGCACCACUUGCAACCUCCCACCAAGCACAUCACACUACCAAGACACACACUCACAACAUCACCACACUCACGUAGAGGACAAUCAAACAGUUAUAAAGGAAGAAGGAAGGGAGAGUUGAUUUCCGUGUGCAAAGUUCGAGUGUGGGGUGCAUUCUUAUAAGGGGGGCCUUUAAUAUGUAAUUAAAGAAGUAGUUGGAUGUGGCUGAAAAUGUACUACAGUAAUUAAUACUGAAGGGCAAAUUAGGUAUGAGGUGGUGUAGGAAACAUUUAGUGGUGGUGGAGGGAGCAACACUCCCCAAUUCCAUGUUGCAUGGCC